rnacentral:rRNA from 1 species
GUGCCAGCAGCCGCGGUAAUACGGAGGGUGCAAGCGUUAUCCGGAUUCACUGGGUUUAAAGGGUGCGUAGGCGGGCAAGUAAGUCAGUGGUGAAAUCUUCGAGCUUAACUCGGAAACUGCCAUUGAUACUAUUUGUCUUGAAUGUUCUGGAGGUGAGCGGAAUAUGUCAUGUAGCGGUGAAAUGCUUAGAUAUGACAUAGAACACCAAUUGCGUAGGCAGCUCACUACGGAAAUAUUGACGCUGAGGCACGAAAGCGUGAGGAUCAAACAGGAUUAGAUACCCUGGUAGUCC